CACCUGGCAAGAGAAUGCCCUUAAAAGGGGAUAUUUUGUAUCCACUUCCUCUCUUUUCCUACAGGAUAGAAGGUGGAUGUUGCAGGGAGACUGUUCUGACCACGUGGCUUGAUUAGAGUUCCCUGAGGGAUGUCAGAACAAUGGAGCAGGAGGCAUCCGAGGCCCUGGAUGACUUCAUGGAGUGGAGCUACUCACCCUCUCCGAACCACUUGUCUACUUCCAGAAAGCGAUGUCAAAGAGAAUGAAGUCUUUCAGAAACAGUCUUGUAGACCAA
ensembl:lncRNA